rnacentral:rRNA from 1 species
AUUGAACGCUGGCGGCAUGCUUUACACAUGCAAGUCGAACGGUAACAGGCCGCAAGGUGCUGACGAGUGGCGAACGGGUGAGUAAUGCAUCGGAACGUGCCCAGUCGUGGGGGAUAACGCAGCGAAAGCUGCGCUAAUACCGCAUACGAUCUAUGGAUGAAAGCGGGGGACCGUAAGGCCUCGCGCGAUUGGAGCGGCCGAUGUCAGAUUAGGUAGUUGGUGGGGUAAAGGCUCACCAAGCCAACGAUCUGUAGCUGGUCUGAGAGGACGACCAGCCACACUGGGACUGAGACACGGCCCAGACUGCUACGGGAGGCAGCAGUGGGGAAUGUUGGACAAUGGGCGCAAGCCUGAUCCAGCAAUGCCGCGUGCAGGAAGAAGGCCUGCGGGUUGUAAACUGCUUUUGUACGGAACGAAAAGGCUCUGGAUAAUACCUGGGGCUCAUGACGGUACCGUAAGAAUAAGCACCGGCUAACUACGUGCCAGCCGCCGCUGUAAAAC